rnacentral:rRNA from 1 species
GACGAACCGUGCGAACGUUGUUCGGAAUCACUGGGCUUAAAGGGCGCGUAGGCGGGCUGUCAAGUCUGGGGUGAAAUGCCACGGCUCAACCGUGGAACUGCCUUAGAUACUGACGGCCUCGAGGGAGGUAGGGGCGUGCGGAACUGUAGGUGGAGCGGUGAAAUGCGUUGAUAUCUACAGGAACUCCGGUGGCGAAAGCGGCGCGCUGGACCUCUUCUGACGCUGAGGCGCGAAAGCUAGGGGAGCAAACGGG